rnacentral:sRNA from 1 species
AGACUUGAAAAAAAAAAGAUAAAAAC